UGUGCCCACCCCCCACUCCUGGGGCUUCCAUCAGGCAUGCAAUUCAGGACCGCAGGGUCCAUCAUCAAUCCUAGUGGUUGGAGGGCACAAAAUCCUGAUAAUCACUUUCCCUACAGGGGCCUUUCUUGCUCGUAGAUCCAAGAAUAGGUGAACAUCUUGAGCGAGGGACAAGGCCUAAGGCAGGCCCAGGCUGGGCAAAGGAAGCCACCAGGAUGUUAACACUGAAAAUGGGAUAAACAAGACCUGUGUGGGAUAAACAAAACCUGUACUACCUAUGCAAGUUUUCUGGGUGAAAGCACCUCCUCCUGGCAAUCAAACUUCAAUUUCCCCAAGAGCCCAGGACCUCACCCAGGUAAAGGACAAGUUUUCUAGAAAAAGACAAGGCCCGUGAGCUGACCAUCGAGCCAUGUCCUGCAGCAAGGGGCAGCAGAAAUGAUCCAACUGGAGAAGAGCUGGAGGUGGGCUGGUGUGACUCAAACACACAUACUCGGGCUGAUGAAGGAGAGAGAUGAAGAGAAGACAGAUGUUUGGAGAAGGCCCCCAUUUCCUGAGCCAGAACAUCAUCCUCAACUCCACCAAUACUAGGCGCCAAGAGGAGGGCAGAGCAAGGCCUGUGCUGCCCUCGAGGACCAGCCCUGGGGACUGAUUCUGGGGGUCCAGGGCCCCACUCCCUGUAGGCGUGUCAGUCAGGCCUGCUCACACCUCCAGGCUGCUGACAGCCCCUCUGUGCCGUGACCCUGCAGACACCACUCUGGAGAUAGGGUGAAAAAAAUAAAAGCAAACAGCAAAAUUAAAUGGAAUCUGAAAACAA